UGCGUAGGCGGCCCCGUGUGUCAGAGGUGAAAUCCCACGGCUCAACCGUGGAAUUGCCUUUGAAACUGCGGGGCUUGAGUCCGAGAGGGGAAGGUGGAAUUCCUGGUGUAACGGUGAAAUGUGCAGAUAUCAGGAAGAACACCCGUGGCGAAGGCGGCCUUCUGGCUCGGAACUGACGCUGAGGCACGAAAGCUAGGGUAUCGAACG
rnacentral:rRNA from 1 species